GGUUCCAUAGAGUAGUGGUUAGCACAUCUGCUUUACACGCAGAAGGUCCUGGGUUCGGGCCCCAGUGGAGCCA
rfam:Pteropus alecto contig164809, whole genome shotgun sequence.